rnacentral:rRNA from 1 species
GAUGAACGCUGGCGGCGUGCCUAAUACAUGCAAGUCGAGCGAACGGACGAGAAGCUUGCUUUUCUGAUGUUAGCGGCGGACGGGUGAGUAACACGUGGAUAACCUACCUAUAAGACUGGGAUAACUUCGGGAAACCGGAGCUAAUACCGGAUAAUAUUUUGAACCGCAUGGUUCAAAAGUGAGAGACGGUCUUGCUGUCACUUAUAGAUGGAUCCGCGCUGCAUUAGCUAGUUGGUAAGGUAACGGCUUACCAAGGCAACGAUGCAUAGCCGACCCGAGAGGGUGAUCGGCCACACUGGAACUGAGACACGGUCCAGACUCCUACGGGAGGCAGCAGUAGGGAAUCUUCCGCAAUGGGCGAAAGCCUGACGGAGCAACGCCGCGUGAGUGAUGAAGGUCUUCGGAUCGUAAAACUCUGUUAUUAGGGAAGAACAUAUGUGUAAGUAACUGUGCACAUCUUGACGGUACCUAAUCAGAAAGCCACGGCUAACUACGUG